rnacentral:rRNA from 1 species
AAUAUUGCCCAAUGGAGGGAACUCUGAUGCAGCAACGCCGCGUGAGUGAAGACGGUUUUCGGAUCGUACAACUCUCUCAUUGGGGACGAAUAAAUGACGGUACCCAAGGAGGCAGCCCCGGCAAACUACGUUCCAGCAGCCGCGGUAAUACGUAGGGGGCGAGCGUUGUCCGGAAUUACUGGGCGUAAAGGGUACGUAGGCGGCUAUAUAAGUCAGGUGUGAAAUACCAGUGCUUAACACUGGAAUUGCAUUUGAAACUGUGUAGCUUGAGUGCAGGAGAGGAAAGUGGAAUUCCUAGUGUAGCGGUGAAAUGCGUAGAGAUUAGGAGGAACACCAGUGGCGAAGGCGACUUUCUGGACUGUAACUGACGCUGAGGUACAAAAGCGUGGGUAGCGAACA